rnacentral:tRNA from 1 species
UCCCAGGUAACUCAGUGAUAACAAAUCUGCUUGCCAACCAGAAGAUGCAGGUUCGAUCCCUGGCCUGGGAA